rnacentral:rRNA from 1 species
CGAAAGCCUGACGGAGCAAGACCGCGUGAGGGAGGAAGGCUCUUGGGUUGUAAACCUCUUUUCUCAGGGAAGAAGCUCUGACGGUACCUGAGGAAUCAGCCUCGGCUAACUCCGUGCCAGCAGCCGCGGUAAUACGGGGGAUGCAAGCGUUAUCCGGAAUUAUUGGGCGUAAAGCGUUCGUAGGCGGUUUUAUAAGUCUGCUGUCAAAGUGCGGAGCUCAACUCCGUAAGAGCAGUGGAAACUGUGAGACUAGAGUGUGGUAGGGGUAGAGGGAAUUCCCGGUGUAGCGGUGAAAUGCGUAGAGAUCGGGAAGAACAUCGGUGGCGAAAGCGCUCUACUGGACGGCAACUGACACUCAGGGACGAAAGCUAGGGGAGCG